UCCCUGGUGGCUCAGACGGUAAAGCGUCUGCCUGCAAUGCAGGAGACCCAGGUUUGAUCCCUGGGUCGGGAA
rnacentral:tRNA from 1 species